UACGUAGGCCGCGAGCGUUGUUCGGAGUUACUGGGCGUAAAGGGUGUGUAGGCGGUUUUUUAAGUUUGGUGUGAAAUCUCCCGGCUCAACCGGGAGGGUGCGCCGAAUACUGAGAGACUCGAGUGCGGGAGGGGAGAGUGGAAUUCCUGGUGUAGCGGUGAAAUGCGUAGAUAUCAGGAGGAACACCGGUGGUGUAGACGGCUCUCUGGACCGUAACUGACGCUGAGACACGAAAGCGUGGGUAGCAAACAGG
rnacentral:rRNA from 1 species